UACGGAGGGUGCGAGCGUUGUUCGGAAUCACUGGGCGUAAAGGGCGUGUAGGCGGUCCGCUAAGUCUGAUGUGAAAGCCCGGGGCUCACCCCCGGAAGGGCAUUGGAAACUGACGGACUCGAGUCCGCAAGAGGAGGGUGGAAGUUCCUGGUGUGAGCGGUGAAAUGCGCAGAUAUCAGGAGGAACACCGGUGGCGAAGGCGGAUCUCCUGGGCCUUACCUGACGCUCGAGGCACGAAAGCUAGGGGAGCAAC
rnacentral:rRNA from 1 species